AUUGAACGCUGGCGGCAGGCCUAACACAUGCAAGUCGAGCGAGCGGCGGACGGGUGAGUAAUGUAUGGGGAUCUGCCCGAUAGAGGGGGAUAACUACUGGAAACGGUGGCUAAUACCGCAUACUAUCGGAUGAACCCAUAUGGGAUUAGCUAGUAGGUGGGGUAAAGGCUCACCUAGGCGACGAUCUCUAGCUGGUCUGAGAGGAUGAUCAGCCAAACUGGGACUGAGACACGGCCCAGACUCCUACGGGAGGCAGCAGUGGGGAAUAUUGCACAAGGGGCGGAAGCCGUAUGCAGCCAUGCCGCGGGUAUGAAGAAGGCCUUAGGGGUGUAAAGUACUUUCAGCGGGGAGGCGUGACCCGCAGAAGAAGCACCGGCUAAAUCCGUGCCAGCAGCCGCGGUAAUUA
rnacentral:rRNA from 1 species